rnacentral:rRNA from 1 species
CCUACGGGAGGCAGCAGUGGGGAAUAUUGGGCAAUGGGCGCAAGCCUGACCCAGCAACGCCGCGUGAAGGAAGAAGGCUUUCGGGUUGUAAACUUCUUUUCUCAGGGACGAAGCAAGUGACGGUACCUGAGGAAUAAGCCACGGCUAACUACGUGCCAGCCGCCGCGGUAAUACGUAGGUGGCAAGCGUUAUACGGAUUUACUGGGAGUAAAGGGCGUGUAGGCGGGAAAGCAAGUCAGAUGUGAAAACCAUGGGCUCAACCUGUGGCCUGCAUUUGAAACUGUUUGUCUUGAGUACUGGAGAGGCAGGCGGAAUUCCUAGUGUAGCGGUGAAAUGCGUAGAGAUUAGGAGGAACACCAGUGGCGAAGGCGGUCUGCUGGACAGCAACUGACGCUGAGGCGCGAAAGCGUGGGGAGCAAACAGGAUUAGAUACCCCUGUAGUC